rnacentral:rRNA from 1 species
UGGGGAAUAUUGCACAAUGGAGGGAACUCUGAUGCAGCGACGCCGCGUGAACGAAGAAGGCUUUCGAGUCGUAAAGCUCUUUUCUAUGGGAAGAUAAUGACGGUACCAUAAGAAAAAGCCCCGGCUAACUACGUGCCAGCAGCCGCGGUAAUACGUAGGGGGCUAGCGUUGUCCGGAAUCACUGGGCGUAAAGGGUUCGCAGGCGGAAAUGCAAGUCAGGUGUAAAAGGCAGUAGCUUAACUACUGUAAGCAUUUGAAACUGCAUAUCUUGAGAAGGGUAGAGGUAAGUGGAAAUUUUAGUGUAGCGGUGAAAUGCGUAGAUAUUAAAAAGAAUACCGGUGGCGAAGGCGACUUACUGGGCUCAUUCUGACGCUGAGGAGCGAAAGCGUGGGUAGCAAACAGG